rnacentral:misc_RNA from 1 species
GAUGAAGAACGUAGCGAAAUGCGAUACUUGGUGUGAAUUGCAGAAUCCCGUGAACCAUCGAGUCUUUGAACGCAAGUUGCGCCCGAAGCCAUUAGGCCGAGGGCACGCCUGCCUGGGCGUCACACGUCGUUGCCCCCCCAUCUACUCCUUCGGGAUUGCGGGGGGCGGAUGAUGGCCUCCCGUGCGCCACGCCGCGCGGUUGGCAUAAAUGCCAAGUCCUCGGCGACGCACGCCACGACAAUCGGUGGUUGCGAAACCUCGGUUGCCCGUCGUGUGCGGUCGUCGCGCAUCGAGGGCUCGAAAAAAUUGCCGGGUUCCGGCUCGGCUUUCAACGCGACCCCAGGUCAGGCGGGGUUACCCGCUGAAUUUAAGCAUAUCAAUAAGCGGGAGGA